rnacentral:lncRNA from 1 species
CUGUCCUUCCUUGCUUGACUGCCUUUUCACACUCAUACUAGGAGAGGAGUCAAAGAAUGAACUCUUUACUGAGCUAUUGCAUAAGAGAGAGCAGAGCUCCUUCUUGAGUAUGAGAUAUCCUCCCACAUCCGAUUAUGGUCCAUCUACUUCUUCCUCUAUUGAUGAAUGUGCUAUAUGCUUAACGCAGGGAAGUCGGACUCUAGAAAUUCCUUUUCACUGGGAACAACUCCUGGCUCGUUAGAACCAGACUUUGUUCAAACGAUGAAGAAGUGGGCAGACAGGGGUAGGAGGCCUCGGGACUUUAACGUCAGCGAUAUGGUGCUGGUGAAGCAAAUCCGCAACCCGCGGCGCCAGAAGAUCUCACUCCUUUCCGCCGGGACGUGUACGCAAAAGUGGGGGUCUUCCUGUCGGCUGGGGUGUUACAGUUAGAUUCCAAAUUCACAUAUAAAAAUUGAACCUUCUUAUAAAUCAGAUAAAGUUAUGCUUAUUCAUCGAUCAAAUAUAAUACAGUUGACACCAAAAAGUAAUAUUUACAAAGAAUCACAAUCACAACAACAAAAAAAAAAAAAUUAUUCCAACAAUCUCAAGAUCCAGCAAGAAUUAUCUAUAAGUUUGGAUUGACCAGCAUCAUAAUAGUAAAAAUGCUCAUUCAGGUUUCUUAUAAAUUUCAUU